rnacentral:lncRNA from 1 species
UACUAGUCAUGCAUGCGCCCUCCCAAUUUGCUGCUCAAGCAUUAGUACUAGUAUUUUCUCAGUUGAUUAUGUGCAUUAGCAUUUACACUUGCUACAUCUCAUAACCAAUCGAUGACUGCCUUGGUCCUAGAGAUUUUCAAGCGUGCCUUCUAAACCGUGACGGAGGGAGUACUAAUCUAAGAGGGAUUUUCACAGUUGUACUAAUUACCGUGAAAUUAAGCUGAUGAGCCAUACAAUGAAGCUAUGUGAGAGAGUUAUUGAGCACCGCUUAAGAUGAAUGACAAGUGUGAC